rnacentral:rRNA from 1 species
AUGCCGGCGAUGAUGUUCACGGAGGGGCUGGAUCGGGACGCGCUCAAGUGGGUGCGCGAGGGCCAGGGCGCGGGCGCGGGGGCGGGGGCGCUGCACAGCCACGGCCGCAUGGACGCGCUCCGGGCCGCGCGCGGCGCGGGCGGCCUCGGCCUCGGCAUGCCGCCGCCGGAGAAGUACAGGAGCGGCCACCUGCCGCGCGCGUCCGUGCCGCUGCGCCCCACCGACGACGGGAGCGCCUCCACGGCCUCCGACAUGGACGAGUCCUCCGACGCCGAGGAGGUCGAGGUCUGCAGCGGCGGCAGGUACUCCGUCGACUCCUCGCCCCGCCACCGCGACGACGCCCCACGCCGCACCGCCGUGCCCCUGUACCGGUACGCCAACGUGCCCGGGCAGCAGAACUACUACUCCAGCGACGGCUACUCGGAUCUGAGCUCGUCGAGGGACACGGCGCUUCCAAGGGGGAAGCCGCAGCAGGCGCGGCGGCCAGAGGCGCGCGCUGCUGCUGCGUACGUCGAGGAGGAGGAGUACUCGGACUCUGCGGGCAGCUCCGAGUUCUCGAGCCAGGUGUCGGGGCGGAACAAUGGCGUGGCCUCCAAGGGUGGGUACGCAUCUGACUACUCGCAUACCGGGCCAGUCCGGAGAGAAGCGAACAAUGCGGUUCCUAAGGCGGCUCGUACGGCAGCUCAGCCUUCAAACUCGAGAGCUUACCAGCCGGAACACUACUCUGCUCAUGUCCCUGCUCGGGUCGAUGUCAAAUCUUCUCCUAAAAUGGAUGGUUCAUCUGAUGUCCCGAGUGCCCCACCAAUACAUGGUUAUAGUCAGGAAACUUCACCAGCUCCUCAAAGUGAUACCAGAACUUGUGCAAAAGCAAGUGCAUCGGAUGGUUCAACUGUCAAAAAGGAGGACCAUGGUGAUGGUAUUGUGGGAGCUGACUUACCCGAAAAAACUGAUAGCAGCGCUUUGAAUGGAAGGCACACCAGCAGACCAUCUAGUUCAAUUCCUCUUCGAGUCCCCACGUUUCAUGCCAGUUUGCAAGGUCCCUGGUAUUCUGUGCUUGCAUAUGAUGCUUGUGUUCGCCUGUGUCUUCAUGCAUGGGCUAGAGGCUGUAUGGAAGCUCCGGUUUUUCUGGAAAAUGAAUGCACAUUAUUGAGAGACACAUUUAGCUUGCAAGAUGUGCUGCUGCGAUCGGAGGAGGAACUCAUGACAAAACAGGCAUCAGAACGAGUUACGGAAGGAGCUGCAUCAAAACCCAAGAAAACAAUUGGAAAAAUGAAGGUUCAAGUUCGCAAAGUUCGCAUGUCUGUAGACAUGCCUUCUGGUUGCAAUUUUUCAUCAUUGCCAGUGGUGAAAUUUGAUUCAGUUCGGCACCGUUUGUCCAACGUACAAUCAUCAAUCACAUCUGGGUGGGAGUCAGUUAGGAGAGUUCAAGUAGCAACACAUGUGCCUCCUAAUAGUUCCUUCUCGAAGCAUAGCUUAGCAUACAUGCAAGCAAGUGCUCAAUAUAUAAAGCAGGUAUCUGGUCUGCUAAAAGUUGGUGUGACUACCUUGCGCAGCAGUUCAGCCGACGAAAUACAACAAGAGACAUAUUCAUGCAAACUGAGGCUUAAAAGUUCACCUGAAGACGACGUGGUACCAAUGCAGCCAGGAUCUGGUGAAACACAUGUCUUCUUUCCAGAUAGCCUUGGAGAUGAUUUAAUCAUUGAUGUAUCUGAUACCAAAGGAAAACCCUGUGGGCGUGUUGUUGCUCAAGUUGCUACAAUGGCAGAGGAACCUGCUGACAAACUUCGUUGGUGGUCAAUAUACCGGGAGCCAGAGCAUGAACUCGUGGGCCGCAUACAUCUAUAUGUCCAAUAUACAACUGCUGCAGAUGAAAACAACACAAAGUAUGGCUCCGUCGCAGAGACUGUGGCAUAUGAUAUUGUUUUGGAAGUUGCAAUGAAGGCACAACACAUUCAGCAACGGAAUCUUGUCUUGCAAGGUUCUUGGAAAUGGUUGCUGACAGAAUUUGCGUCAUACUAUGGGGUUUCAGAUGCGUACACUAAGUUGAGGUACCUCUCAUAUAUUGUGGAUGUUGCAACCCCUACGGCUGAUUGGCUGAAUCUAGUUCACGAGCUCUUGCUGCCAGUACUAAUGAAGAGCCAUGGUACUGCCACAUUGAGCCAUCAAGAGAAUCGAAUACUGGGGGAAGUGGAGGAGCAAAUCGAGCAAACUUUAGCAAUGGUAUUUGAGAAUUACAAGUGUCUUGAUGAGUCACUGGUCUCUGGACUGGCGGAAGACUUUAGGCCACCAACUGGAUUGGCCGCGUCAGCCCUGGAGCCGGCUAUAAAGCUGUACAGUCUUCUCCAUGAUGUGCUAUCUCCAGAGGCCCAACUGAGACUCUGUGGUUACUUCCAGACUGCUGCCAGGAAGCGCUCGCGGAGGCACAUGCUCGAAACUGAUGAAUUUGUGGCAGGAAAUUCUGAAGGCAUAAAGAUGGACAUGGUGACCUUCACAACUGCUUACCAGAAGAUGAAAUCAUUGUGCCAUAAUAUACGCAAUGAAAUUUUUACAGACAUCGAAAUUCAUAACCAUCACAUACUUCCCAGUUUUGUCGACCUCCCCAAUUUGACAGCCGCCAUCUAUAGUGUGGAGCUCUCAAAUAGACUACGCUCAUUCCUUGUUGCGUGCCCUCCUACUGGCCCUUCUUCUCCGGUUGCAGAUUUGGUGAUCGCCACUGCAGAUUUUCAGAAGGAUCUUGCCAGCUGGAACAUUUGUUCUAUUAAAGCUGGUGUUGAUGCAAAAGAGCUGUUCCAUUUGUACAUUGUAUUAUGGAUUGAAGAUAAACGAAGAGCACUGCUCGAAAACUGCAGGCUGGAUAAGGUUAAAUGGUCAGGAGUUAGGACUCAGCAUAUGACGACACCUUUCGUGGAUGAGAUGUAUGAUUUACUGAAGAAUACAUUGACGGAGUAUGAGGUUAUCAUUUGCCGAUGGCCAGAAUACAUAUUUGUUCUUGAGAAUGCUAUUGCAGAUAUCGAGAAAGCGGUAAUCGACUCCCUCGAAAAGCAGUAUGUGGAUAUUUUGGCCCCACUUAAAGAUUGUAUUGCCCCAAAAAAAUUUGGCCUCAAAUAUGUACAAAAGUUAGCAAAGCGCAAUUCAACGUGCCCUUAUGUUGUACCUGAAGAUCUAGGGAUCCUCUUGAACACAAUGAAAAGACUAUUGGAUGUUCUGCGGCCGCGGAUCGAGAGCCAUCUGAGGUCCUGGAGUUCUUGUAUACCUCAUGGAGGAAAUUCAGCUGCCAUCGGCGAAAGACUUAGUGAGGUUACAGUAACAUUGAGGGCGAAAUUCAGAAACUACAUGCAAGCAGUUGUCGAGAAGUUGUCUGAGAAUACCCGCAUGCAGAGCACCACAAAGCUCAAGAAGAUCAUCCAAGACUCAAAAGGAUUGGUCCUGGAGUCAGAUAUCCGUGGCAGGAUGCAGGAGUUGAAUGAUCAGCUAAUCGGGGCAAUAAAUCAUGUGCACAAAGUCUCAGAAGUUCAUGUGUUUGUAGCCAUAUGCCGAGGCUUUUGGGACCGUAUGGGGCAGGAUGUCUUGAGUUUCCUGGAAAACCGCAAAGAGAACAAGGCCUGGUACAAAGGCGCGAGAGUUGCAGUGUCGGUGCUCGAUGACACAUUUGCAUCCCAGAUGCAGCAGUUGCUCGGCAACACGCUCCAGCAGAAGGAGCUGGAGCCGCCUAGGUCCAUCAUGGAAGUGAGGUCAAUUCUCUGCAAAGACGCUCCCCGUCAGAAGAAUUCAGGCUUCUACUAUUGA